UCCUUCGGGAUUAGUGGCAGACGGGUGAGUAACGCGUGGCAAGCUACCGUCUGUGGUAGGGGACAACAGUGUGGAAACGACGUGCUAAUACACCAUAUGAGCCCUAUGGGGGAAAGUAUUUAUCGCCAUGAGAUGUGCCGCGCGUUAGAUUAUGACAUAGUUGGUAAUGGUAAUGGCUUACCAAGGCGACGAUCUAUAGCUGGUCUGAGAGGAUGAUCAGCCACACUGGGACUGAGACACGGCCCAGACUCCUACGCGGAGGCAGCUAGUGGGGAAUAUUGGACUAAUGGGGGCAACCCUCGUAUCCAGUCCAUGCCGCGUGUGUGAUGACGUGCCUUAGUGGUUGUAAAGCACUUUCAUGCAGUGAAGAUAAUGUACAGUAUAACUGCAGAAGAAGCCCCGGCUAACUUCGUGCCAGCAGCCGCGUGUAAUACGAAGGGUGGCUAGCGUUGUUCGGAAUCACUGGGCGUAAAGAGUACGUAGGCGGACUGACUAAUGUUAGGGGUGAAAUCCCAAGGCUCAACCUUGGAACUGCCUUUGAUACUGUCAGUCUUGAGAUCGAGAGAGGUGAGUGGAACUCCGAGUGUAGAGGUGAAAUUCGUAGAUAUUCGGAAUGAACAUCCAGUGGCGAAAGGCGGCUUCACUGGCUCUAUACUGACGCUGAGGUACGAAAAGCGUGGGGAGCAAAACAGGGAUUAGAUACCCUGGUAGUCCACGCCGUAUACGAUAGAAUGCUAGUUGUCAGGUAGCUUGCUUAUUUGGUGAUGCAACUAACGCAUUUAAGCAUUCCGCCUGGGGAGUAC
rnacentral:rRNA from 1 species